rnacentral:SRP_RNA from 1 species
CUCGGAAGUCGGCGGACGGCUCGUCCGUGAACCUGGUCAGGCCCGGAAGGGAGCAGCCACAACGGUUUACAGCCGGGUCGUCGGCUUCCACCUCC